CCCCGCGCAGCGCGGCCGCGCAUGGGCGGAUGGGGAUCCGCGCUCUUGGCGCGGCGGAUGAAUCCGGGGCUCGGCAGGCCGCGCCCGGAGCGCGGGGCUCUCCCGGGCCGCUCCCCCCCGCUCCGCCCAUGGCCUCCCCGCUGGAGGAUCCCGUCCUGAUCCGGCCUUUCCGCGGCCACACGGCGGCGGUGACGGGCGUCGCCUUCGACGCGAACGCGGCGGAGCUGGUUACCUGCUCUGUGGAUAGCUUUCUCAUAUUGUGGAAGCUGAAGACGCAGUGCAGCGCCUACAGAUUUUCAGGCCAUGCAGAGGCGGUGACAAGUGUAGAGUUCUCACCAGAUGGGCAGGUGCUGGCUUCAGCUUCUCAGGAUCACACUGUCAGGCUAUGGAUUCCUUGCAUUCAUGGAGAAUCAUCAGUACUGAAAGGUCAUACAGCACCUGUUCGGAGUGUGAGCUUCUCCCAUGAUGGCUACUCUGUAGUUUCAGCAUCCAAUGAUAAAUUAAUAAAAAUAUGGAGUGUUUGCUAUCAGCGCCUUUUGUUUACCCUAUUCCAACACACUGGUUGGGUUUGCUGUGCCAAGUUUUCACCUGAUGGAAGAAUAAUAGCAUCUUGUGCUGAGGACAAAUCUAUUAACAUCUGGGAUACAAGAAAUAAAAUUUGCAUUAAUACCUUCUCAGAUUAUGAAGGAUUUCCAACUUUUGUGGACUUCAACCCAAGUGGAACAUGUAUAGCUUCUGCAGGUUCCAAUAACACAGUGAAACUAUGGGAUAUUCGAACGAACAAGCUGCUGCAGCAUUUCAAAGUUCACAGAGCAGGGGUUAAUUGUAUAUCAUUCCAUCCUUCUGGUAACUACCUCAUCACUGCUUCUUCUGACGGUACCCUUAAGAUUCUGGACCUCUUAGGAGAAAGACUUUCUUACACUCUUCAUGGACACAAGGGACCUGUACUUUGUGUGGCUUUUUCAAAAGGUGGUGAAAAAUUUGCCUCAGGUGGAGUUGAUUCUCAGGUAUUACUUUGGAAAACCAACUUUGAUACUUUGGAUUAUGAAGAAGUUCUCGAACACAAUUUUAGAAGAACACAUAUUGAUGAUCCUCCUCAUCUUCUUGAUGUUUACCCAAGGUCAUCUCAUUUCCAUGAUGAAAGAUUUAAGUCAGUUGAGGUUGAUGCUACCUUUGACGUGCCUGAUAUACAAACACCUGACCCAGUCAUCAUCGAUAUUAGAAAAUCUUCAUAUAUCACUACUCCUAGAUACCUCAUCAGAUGACAUGGGGCAGCAAGCCACAGUUGGCACAUGGCAAGUUGUUGCUGGGCUGAUUCAUGUGCAUGCAAGAGGAAAUGAAGAGUGCUGUCAUCAGCUGAAACUACAGGGAAGUUUUCUUCAGUAGGAGCUGAUAAAACAGAUUGUGGUUUAACAUACUCGGUGUUCGACUAAUUGAUCAGAGAGCUGUUUUAUGUGGAUCACUCAUUGACUGAAAAAAAUAAUUUCAAAGCAGUAGAAGAGAUCUGUGAGUAAUUAUAUCCUACAAAAAACCCAACCCCCAAAAAAAACCAACAAUAACAAGAACAAAAAACCCCAAAAAAGUUAAAAAAAAAGCCACCGAGAAAACCCAAAAAACAAAACAAAAAAAUCCCCAAAAAACCAACUCUUGAAUGGUUAAAUUUAGCAUUUCCACAGUGAACCGUUUUUAUAUGAGGGUAGGUUCACAAGAUGAGGAAAAAGUAGUGAUAGUGGUAGUACUGUUUCUCCCAAAAAUUUCCCAUGAUUUCAAAUAACCAAAAGACACAGAAAUUGAACAUCUGGUAAGGUGGGACACUACUCUGUUAUGCCUUUGCUCUUUGAUCUGUUUGAGCUUAAUGCCCUACUAAUGACUAAUUAUUUGUAGUUGUUUUAAUCACAGUAUCAGAAAUAUUUUACUAUUAGUAGGCAAAUGCACCAUGUGUUCGAAAUUCAAAGGUUUAAUUGUAAAAAGCAGACCAUGCCAAUUUUUGUGAUUCAUUAGGAAGCUUACCAAUGUUACUUUUUUAUAAGCCCAUCUUAAUUAUAAGAUCUCUAAGAUAUGCUUUUAGAAACUCUGGUCUGUAGUUUCCAGAUUUGGAGCUCAUAGAGGAUUCAAGCCUGUUGAUAGGCAAUUGUGUGAGAGAGACUUGUAUCUUUUCUUUUUUUCUUAUUUCCCUUGAGGGAUUUUUUUUGCUUCAUUUCUAUAAAUAAAACUGCUGAGGCAUCCUUAUAUAUGGGUGCAUUUUACUCAGAUUCUAUUCUUAACAGUUAUGAAGCAAAGGGAGACUGGGAUGCAGUGUUUUUGUCUAUGUGCUGUGUGAAUGUUUCAUGGGAAAAUGUUUGGGAACAGGCAGAGGUGAUAAGGUUAUGUGUAAGGAUUUUUCACAAAUUGAUCAAGUACCACCCACAGCGUUUUGGCUAUUUUGCUUGACAGAAAACAAAGAUGAGCAAUUAUGGUUUGCUGUUUGUGACAUCAUUUUAUAAGCUAAAUUUAAUUUUAUGCUGAACAUCCGCUGGUAAUGUCAUGGUAAUAACUUCCUAUUGAUUAAUUAAAUCUCUUCCUUCUCCUCCUUAUUUGUAACUUGCAUGAAGUUGCUCAAAUGUGAGUUUAUGCUAUUACUAAUGGUCUGUGAAUGGAAACACUGUACACAUUUUCAUUUUCUUCUUUGCUUUGCUCAGAAGUAACAAUCUUAAAUUGAUUGCUAUAUUAAAAUUUAUUCUCUUAAAAUAAGCUAUAGCUCUGAUGAAUCUCCAAAUAGUUGGGGGUUUUUUUUUAUAUAUAUGAGACAUUUUUACUACAUUGCUGGUGACAGACAGAAUUGUUGUUUAUGAAUUGGUAGCAUUUCAAGUACUUUAGAACGGGGCUAAUUUGAAGGAAAGACAACAUUUAAUUCUUGAAACUUUUCAUUUGAAAUAGACUUUGAGUAAAAAGACUUUCUUUAAAAGGAACUUCAUUUAAAAUGAAAUGUUGUACUGAAUAAAAUUAUUGGACAUGAACUAGCUGGUACCCAAAAGUAAAGGAAAUCUUUUGAGACUAGUGUCAUUCCUUUACAGCAAGGUUUUGGCAUUUGAGUGUUAUGUUAGAUUUAAGCCAUUUUGGACCUUUUGCUGAGCUGGAGGAGAUUGUAAAGUUAGGUAUUAGGAAAGGUUAAAAUAUAAAGCUGAUAACUUUGAAAUUAUACCAACAUACUUGAUGUCUGACAGUGUUUAAAAAAGCCUCUACAAAUUUCCAGAAUAUGAUAAAAAUAACCAUUUUGGACACAAGUUAGAUAAGUUGAAAAUUUGAAAUAGUCUUUUUUCAUUUCUCUUAUAAAUUUUGAAAGCUCAGUUAUUUGCUUAUCUUGUUUAAGUUUUGACAAACAUCAAGGUCUUUGCCUUACUUCUGUAAAUGCUUAUAUGUUUUAUUGUGCUUCUAAGUCUUUGAAGAUGUAACAGAAAAAUCUCAGUUUCCUGCUUAACCCAGUACAUUAUAAGUAAAUUAUAAAAUAUAAAAUUAUAUUUUCCAUUAGUCUGAUGUGCAAUGCUGGUGGCAGUUUACUGAAAUACAAAACAUUCUUUCAGGUCUAUUUGUCUGGUAUAUUGAAGUUUGGAUCAAUUUUGUUGUAGGAAAAAAGUGGUGAGACUUUUAGUAGCUUAGCAUUUGUUCUCUUUACUGAAUUGAUAGCUUUCCUCCUUGGGUUGAAAUAAUCUCUCUUACUUCAGACCUUAACUGACAAUGCUAUGAUAAAAGAAAUCAGUGGAAGUGAUGUCAGUGAAUACCACGGUAUUAUCAAACCUUGAGAAGGGUUCCCUCUGGCUUCGUAGCAUUGUCAGUUGAGGUCUGAAGUGCAUGCCUGGGUAUGUGCCCCUGUCUCUACUAACAUCAUGCUCUGCACUUCAUGGGUUCUUGCCUGGGGGGCUUGAGAGCUGUUCUUGCAGAAUGUAACUGCCCAAUGGAACUUUUACCCGGAGAGGCUUGUAAGACUUUCUUUUUUGCUCUCUUACCUCACCACAGUCUCUGCUUUCAGCUGUUUCCCACCACACAGGACUGUGCAGGAUGGCAUUGAAUAACAGGAAUGUUAUUGUGGAUAAUGCAGCAGUAUAAGUUCCCAAUAGUAUUGAUAUGAUUUAGUAUUACUUAAAUUUAAAAUAGUUACAUUGUCAUCAUGGCAUUAUUUAAUCCAUCAGUCUCUGAUUCUAUGUCAUUUAAAGGCAGGGUCAACAACAUGUAAUUCAUUCUUGACAGAAACUCAUCAACAUACUUAGGUGAUCUUGUAAAAGUCUGCUAAUAAUUCUGCCUAGCAAUUUACAUUCUGCGAGAGUAUUUUAGAUACUUAGGAGAUUUUUAUUUUUGUUAGUGUUUGACAAUGAUUUUAAUACCCUCUAUUUUGAAAAUCUGUUCAGCCUUACAACAUAAAUAUAUUUUGGGCACAUUAUAAAUAUUGUGUAUUUUAAAUGCAUAAGGUGAGACUAAAAUUUCCCCUUUUCAUAGCUAAUGGAUAUUUUCAUGGGCUGUCAAUAAAUUCCCCAGAAAUAGUUUAAUUGGAACCAUUAUAAAGGUUUAUUUUGUAAAUGUAGAUAUAUCAAAUGUAAUUAUAAAUAGUAAAACUUAACUACCACAACUUAUUUUAGUGUAUAAGUAAACUAAAGGUGUCUGAAGAUAUAAGAAGUUUUCAAAGGAAUCUCAAUAAAUCAUUGAUUAUUCAGGUAAAGUUAUUGUGAAGGACUUUCUAAUGAAUUAGUGAUGAUUUAACCUUUCCUGACUCAAAAAUACCAUUAAGAACUUCAAGGCACUGACAAAACCAAAUUGGUGGGGAAGAUCAUGCUCUCUCACUUUGCCUGAAGCAAAGUUUACACAUCAAAGUUUUUUCUCUCAAUGUUGCAUUGUGUGGAUCUUCUCUGUUGUUUCCUUCUCCCAUUUUCUGAAGGAAUCAAUUUCUCAAGAAGUACCAUCACUGAACAAGCAACUGAAAACUACUUUCUUUUAAAGCUGAAGUAAGAGGGUGUUGACAAAAGUGAAGAACUGCCGCGUCCCUCUGCUUCCUCAGCAAGAAGUUCAAAAAGGAAGGCAGAGAAUGAGAGUGGGUCAGCUGUGCUUAGUGUGGGACAGCACAGAGGCAUCUCCUCCUCCGUGGACUGU